rnacentral:rRNA from 1 species
UACGUAGGGGGCUAGCGUUGCUCGGAAUGACUGGGCGUAAAGGGCGCGUAGGCGGUUUGUUCAGUCAGGUGUGAAAUUCCCGGGCUCAACCUGGGGGCUGCACUUGAUACGUAUGGACUGGAGUGGGGAAGAGGGUCGUGGAAUUCCCAGUGUAGAGGUGAAAUUCGUAGAUAUUGGGAAGAACACCGGUGGCGAAGGCGGCGACCUGGUCCUUGACUGACGCUGAGGCGCGAAAGCGUGGGGAGCAAACAGG